GAUGAACGCUGGCGGCGUGCCUAAUACAUGCAAGUCGAGCGAACAGACGAGGAGCUUGCUCCUCUGACGUUAGCGGCGGACGGGUGAGUAACACGUGGAUAACCUACCUAUAAGACUGGGAUAACUUCGGGAAACCGGAGCUAAUACCGGAUAAUAUAUUGAACCGCAUGGUUCAAUAGUGAAAGACGGUUUUGCUGUCACUUAUAGAUGGAUCCGCGCCGCAUUAGCUAGUUGGUAAGGUAACGGCUUACCUAGGCGACGAUGCGUAGCCGACCUGAGAGGGUGAUCGGCCACACUGGAACUGAGACACGGUCCAGACUCCUACGGGAGGCAGCAGUAGGGAAUCUUCCGCAAAGGGCGAAAGCCUGACGGAGCAACGCCGCGUGAGUGAUGAAGGUCUUCGGAUCGUAAAACUCUGUUAUUAGGGAAGAACAAAUGUGUAAGUAACUAUGCACGUCUUGACGGUACCUAAUCAGAAAGCCACGGCUAACUACGUG
rnacentral:rRNA from 1 species